rnacentral:rRNA from 1 species
AACGAACGCUGGCGGCGGGCCUCAUACAUGCAAGUCGAGCGCGAAAGUCCGCAAGGAUGAGUAAAGCGGCGCACGGGUGAGUAACACGUGGGUAAUCUACCUUUUGGAUUGGAAUAACCUGUCGAAAGACGGGCUAAUGCCAAGUAAGUUCUUUGGAACGUGGAGUUUUGAAGAAGAAAGAUGGCGCAAGCUAUCGCCGAAAGAUGAGCCUGCGUCCCAUUAGUUAGUUGGUGGGGUAAUGGCUUACCAAGACAAUGAUGGGUACCUGGUCUGAGAGGAUGACCAGGCACACUGGAACUGAAACACGGUCCAGACUCCUACGGGAGGCAGCAGUAGGGAAUAUUGCGCAAUGGACGAAAGUCUGACGCAGCCACGCCGCGUGAGUGAGGAAGGCCUUCGGGUUGU